ACGAACGCUGGCGGCGUGAUUAGGCAUGCAAGUCGUGCGUGAAAGGGAGCAUCCCCGAGUAAGCGCGAACUGGUGAGUAAACGGUGGGUAACGUGCCCUGAAGUGGGGGAUAACACCGGGAAACCGGUGCUAAUACCGCAUGUGGCCGUCCAAGACUCUGGUCCCUGCCGCUAAAGCAGCAGUGCGCCUUCAGGAUCGGCCCGUCCCCGAUUAGCUUGUUGGUGAGGGUAACGGCCUCACCAAGGCGACGAUCGGUAGCUGGUCUGAGAGGAUGGUCAGCCACACUGGAACUGAGAUACGGUCCAGACUCCUACGGGGGCAGCAGUCUAGAGGCUUCGUCAAUGGGGGCAAACCCUGAACGAGCGACGCCGCGCGUGGGAUUGAAGGCCUUCGGGUCGUAAACCACUGUCAUUGGGGAAGAAUGCCCGGAUGGCGAAUCCGGGAGCGACGGUACCCAAGGAGGAAGCCCCGGCUAACUCCGUGCCAGCAGCCGCGGUAAUACGGAGGGGGCAAGCACGGUUGUUCGGAAUUUACUGGGCGUAAAGGGUGUGUAGGCGGCUGGACAAGUCUUGGCAUGGUGAAAUCUUCACCGCUUAACCGGGAAGGGGUCGCUUGGAAACUGUUCAGCUUGAGUAUGGUAGAGGGCAAGCGGAAUUCCUGGUGUAGCGGGUGGAAAUGUGUAGAUAUCAGGAAGGAACACCGGUGGCGAAGGCGGCUUGCCUGGGCCAUCACUGACGGCUGAAACACGAAAGCGUGGGGAGCAAACGGGAUUAGAUACCCCGGUAGUCCACGCCUGUAAAACGGUGCGCACUAGGUGUGGGGGUAUCGACCCCUCCCGUGCCGACGUUAACACAUUAAGUGCGCUCGCCUGGGAGAGUACGGCCGCAAGGUUGAAAACUCAAAGGAAUUGAACGGGGGCCCGCACAAGCGGUGGAGGAUGUGUGUUUAAUUCGACGCAACGCGAAGAACCUUACCCUUGGCUCGACAGGCACGGUAAACUCCUGGAAACAGGGGCUGUGGCAACUACGAUCGUGCCGAGGUGCUGCCAUGGCUUGUCGUCAGCCUCGUGUCGUGAGAUGUUGGGUUAAGUCCCGCAACGAGCGCAACCCUCGUCGUUAGUUACCAGCAUUCAGUUGGGCACUCUAACGAGACUGCCGGUGAUAAACCGGAGGAAGGUGGGGAUGACGUCAAGUCAUCAUGGCCCUUACGUCCAGGGGCUACAAACGUCCUACAAUGGCCGACUACACGAGUUGCAAGACCCGCGAGGUGGAGCUAAUCUCUCAAAACCUAUCGGUCCCAGUUCAGAUUGGAGGCUGCAAUUCGCCUCCAUGAAGUCGGAAUCGCUAGUAAUCGCAGAUCAGCAUGCCUGCGGUGAAUACGUUCCCGGGCCUUGUACACACCGCCCGUCACACCACGGAAAGUCGGUUGUUUCCAGAAGUCGCUGUUGAAACCGCAAGGAGCCUAGGCGCCAAAGGAAUAGCCGGUAAUUGGGGUG
rnacentral:rRNA from 1 species